rnacentral:rRNA from 1 species
UACGUAGGGUGCGAGCGUUGUCCGGAAUUAUUGGGCGUAAAGGGCUCGUAGGCGGUUUGUCGCGUCGGGAGUGAAAACCUCGGGCUUAACUCGGGGCUUGCUUUCGAUACGGGCAGACUGGAGGUAUGCAGGGGAGAACGGAAUUCCUGGUGUAGCGGUGAAAUGCGCAGAUAUCAGGAGGAACACCGGUGGCGAAGGCGGCAUCCUGGACCGGUAUUGACGCUGAGGCGCGAAAGCUAGGGGAGCAAACGGG